CAGCAUUGACAGAAACCAGAGAGCUGUAAAUGCCACACUGGGGUGGCUGGGCCACAUGUGCUAUUAACCAGACAGUCUUGUUCCAUGUCUGGAGUCUGAGCACAUUUUAGGCCCUGGUGGCUGGGCAGCACCCUGUGGGGACCGUUAACCACUUAGCUGAGACCCGUUGAGCAGAUGCCUCUGAAAUCUAUGCUGGUUUGAACCCCCCCUGGGGUAUUUUGUGCUCUUAGGGACACCAUAGUAAUUGAUGUAAUAUGCCUAAGAUGGACUGAAACUGUCUGAUAUUGGAAUAAAUUUAGCCUCACUGGCAAUAACCUACGAAAUACUGGGAUAUACGCACAAAGAUCCAUGUGCCAGGAUAUGUGUUGGAGGAUUUAUAUUUGGAGAAAAUUAAAUGCGCAAUGAGAGGUGCUGUUAUUAUUCCCACUUUACAGAGGGGAAGGCUGAAGCUCAAAGAAGCAAGGCAACUCUCAGGGGUCACAGAAGUGAUAAACUGAGGAGUUGGAAUUCCAGAGUCCAAGCUGGUGACGAGCACCGUGAACUCCUCUUCUCUGGCCACCACUCUACUCUACAACAAAGUCUAUAAAUUAUGGCCAUGGCCAGAUCCAGCUCGCCACCUGUUUCUCUGCUGUUCCCAAGAUGGGAAAACUGACACACAGAAAGGCAAAGGACCCCAUUAAAGUCACACGGCGAGUGAAUGUCAAAGCCAGGACCUGCAGAGGCUAUGGUGGGGGAGAGCACUUGGAGGAGAUGGGAAGGAAUCGUUGCAGGGACAGGUCUCACCCUCACUAGUGCUCACUCCAUUACUUGCCGAAUACACUGGGAGAAACACGCCCCUUCUCUUGACCCGGCUCUUUUCCACAAGGAAGUACGGGACGGAAAUUAAAGAAGAAAGUGGUUCCACAGGUUUGGUGGCUACAAAAAGAUUUCCUCGAUAAACACUGCCCACAGUCACUCAUUUGUGAAAGCUGCAUGAUGUGAAAUUAAACUCGGGCAGAGGUGCUGUGGGUGAUGAUGUCUCGGUGGCUUGGGGAAAUGAAAGCCAUUCAUCUCAGGCAAAUGUGACAGGCAGGACCAUUGGCUUUCCGUCACCUAUGGGCUGCCUUCUCAUGGCAGUGGCCUAUGCAGGCCUUACGUUUUUGCAGCAAAUUUGUAAUGAACCAAUCAGUGGCCUUCAUGUCAGGCAAUCUAGGAAGGUUUUGGAAGUGGGACUACUUGCCCCACUGUUGGUGAGUAUUAGAUAUCCCUUUAGGAAGGUUCAAGAGCCCAUGCUGGCCAGGCGCGGUGGCUCAUGCCUGUAAUCCCAGCACUUUGGGAGGUCGAGGUGGGCAGAUCAC
rnacentral:lncRNA from 1 species